rnacentral:rRNA from 1 species
UGGGGAAUUUUGCACAAUGGGGGAAACCCUGAUGCAGCGACGCCGCGUGAUUUAGAAGGCCUUCGGGUUGUAAAAAUCUUUUCUAUGGGAAGAAAAUGACAGUACCAUAGGAAUAAGGACCGGCUAAUUACGUGCCAGCAGCCGCGGUAAUACGUAAGGUCCGAGCGUUGUCCGGAAUCAUUGGGCGUAAAGGGUACGUAGGCGGGUAAGCAAGUUAGAAGUGAAAUCCUAUAGCUCAACUAUAGUAAGCUUUUAAAACUGCUCAUCUUGAGGUAUGGAAGCGAAAGUGGAAUUCCUAGUGUAGCGGUGAAAUGCGCAGAUAUUAGGAGGAAUACCGGUGGCGAAGGCGACUUUCUGGCCAUAACCUGACGCUGAGGUACGAAAGCGUGGGUAGCAAACAGG